CUCGCGUGUCGUGCCAGCCGCCGCGGUAAUACGAAGGGUGCAAGCGUUAUUCGGAAUCAUUGGGCGUAAAGGGUGUGUAGACGGUAUAUUAAGUCUGUUGUUAAAUCUUCUGGCCUAACCAGAAAUAUGCAGUAGAUACUGAUGUGCUAGAGGGUGGAAGAGAGAAGUGGAAUUCUCGGAGUAGCGGUAAAAUGCGUAGAUCUCGAGAGGAACACCAAUGGCGAAGGCAGCUUCUUGGUCCAUACCUGACGUUGAGGCACGAAAGCGUGGGGAGCAAACAGGAUUAGAUACCCUGGUAGUCCACGCUGUAAACGAUGAUCACUAGACGUUAGUUCUGUUUUACAGGAUUAGUGUCGUAGUUAACGCGAUAAGUGAUCCGCCUGGGAACUACGGUCGCAAGAUUAAAAACUCAAAGGAAUUGACGGG
rnacentral:rRNA from 1 species